rnacentral:rRNA from 1 species
UUAGAGUUUGAUCCUGGCUCAGGAUGAACGCUAGCGGCAGGCUUAACACAUGCAAGUCGAGGGGCAGCGCGAGUGGCAACACUUGGCGGCGACCGGCGCAAGGGUGCGUAACGCGUGAGCAACAUGCCCUCUUCACGGGGAUAACCCGGAGAAAUCCGGCCUAAAACCCGAUGGUGAUUUGGACAGGCAUCUGUUCUAAUCUAAAACUUCGGUGGAAGAGGAUUGGCUCGCGUGACAUUAGGUGGUUGGUGGGGUAACGGCCCACCAAGCCUACGAUGUCUAGGGGAACUGAGAGGUUGGUCCCCCACACUGGAACUGAGACACGGUCCAGACUCCUACGGGAGGCAGCAGUGAGGAAUAUUGGACAAUGGAUGGAAAUCUGAUCCAGCCAUGCCGCGUGAAGGAAUACGGUCCUAUGGAUUUUAAACUUCUUUUGUACGGGAGCAAUAAGGCGCACGCGUGCGCCGAUGAGAGUACCGUACGAAUAAGCAUCGGCUAACUCCGUGCCAGCAGCCGCGGUAAUACGGAGGAUGCGAGCGUUAUCCGGAUUUAUUGGGUUUAAAGGGUGCGUAGGCUGCGUGUCAAGUCAGCGGUGAAAUGUAAGGGCUUAACCCUUAACGUGCCGUUGAUACUGACGUGCUGGAAUUCCGUUGCCGUGGGAGGAAUGUGUAAUGUAGCGGUGAAAUGCAUAGAUAUUACACAGAACACCGAUUGCGAAGGCAUCUCACGAAGCGGUGAUUGACGCUGAUGCACGAAAGUGCGGGGAUCAAACAGGAUUAGAUACCCUGGUAGUCCACGCAGUAAACGAUGAUAACUAACCGUUGGCGAUAGACAGUCAGGGGCCAAGCGAAAGCGAUAAGUUAUCCGCCUGGGGAGUACGACCGCAAGGUUGAAACUCAAAGGAAUUGACGGGGGCCCGCACAAGCGGAGGAACAUGUGGGUUUAAUUCGAUGAUACGCGAGGAACCUUACCCGGGCUCGAACGGCUGGUGAACGACACAGAGAUGUGAAGGUCCUACGGGACGCCAGUCGAGGUGCUGCAUGGUUGUCGUCAGCUCGUGCCGUGAGGUGUCGGCUCAAGUGCCAUAACGAGCGCAACCCUUGUCGUCAGUUACCAUCAAGUAAAGUUGGGGACUCUGGCGAGACUGCCACCGCAAGGUGAGAGGAAGGAGGGGAGGACGUCAAAUCAGCACGGCCCUUACGUCCGGGGCGACACACGUGUUACAAUGGUGACUACAGAGGGAAGCCACCCAGCGAUGGGGAGCAGAUCUCGAAAAGUCAUCUCAGUUCGGACUGGAGUCUGCAACCCGACUCCACGAAGCUGGAUUCGCUAGUAAUCGCGCAUCAGCCAUGGCGCGGGGAAUACGUAACCGGGCCUUGUACUCACCGCCCGUCA